CCUUGAGAAGAUGACACUAUGAGAUGUGCAGGAAGAUGUGUGGGGAGGCAGCCCACCUGCAAGGCCUCCCACCUGCAAGGCCUCCCCUGAAAUGGCUGCUGAAGAGACACGAGUACAUAAAGUGCUAUAGAAGCUUUACUGCAGUGAACUAUUUGCCAUCAUCCUGCAAUACACACAUGGUCUAAAAGAGACAUGGCAAGACAAGCACAUUUAAGAAAAUGAGAUGAUCGAAAACCUCUUCAGUUGUUUGUGUUCUGCUCAGAUGUUGCCUCAGUACUUUGAUAACAUCUUCUCCACAUUGGGAGAGAUUGAAAGAGAACAGGUGAUGAGGAGGGUGACUCCAGGAAUGCGGCCCCAUUACAAUGUGAGCAUGAGGCGACCACGGACACAUGUUUAUGCCAGACUGCAACACUGUACUAAUGAAACUCAAUGCAUGCAUUAAGGACAUUCACCAAAGAGCCACUGCAAACAAGAUGAUGCUAAAUGCUGCAAAGCAUUGGUUCUUCAUUUUACAUCAAGAUUUUCACAACAGCCACUUCCAGUCAUUUCCAUCAUGGUUGGUGAUGUGAAACCACUCAACGAAAGCCAGAAAUCUCUGUGCAGUCAUGGAUGAACAUCUACAUGUAUCACUAAAGGCCCAUGUCACCACCCUAUAUGCCGCUCUUCAAUGACUGUCAUCCAAAGAUGUUUUAAAUUUAGAAAAUAAUGAUCCGCACAAAUACACCUGGAAAUUGUUUGGUUUUCCUUGGCCGUCUUGAACUAACAUGGUCUGCCAUUUUGUUGAAGCAGUAGUUUGACUCCCCAAAAUCGCAGACCAUCAUAUUUCACAAAGUAUUUGGAAAACCUCACAGUUUUAAAGUACAUUAGUUUAAUUAUCCACUACUUUUAAAUGCUAUUCUGUCCAACCUGGUUCAUGUCAUAAAAACUCUUUCAUAGCCCAAAACGCCCAAAACCAAUAUGUGCAGUCUCUAAAAAAUGUUGAUGAAAUAAAUGAAACCAUUGAUUCGGAUUGCAAUUAUUGAAGCUUGAGACUCGAAAACAACAACAGGGUUUUGACAAGUACAAGUACUGUGAGCCUGACAAUUUAAUGUUGCCUAAUGUCUAAAGGGACACAUCGCUUUUGGGUUGGGUGUUUUGAGCUUUAGAAAGUGCUUGCUAUGAAAUGGAUGACGUUGGAAAUAUGUUUUAAAAUUAGAAAAUAAUUAUCCACAAAAAUAUACCUGGAAAUUGUUUGUUUUUUCUUGUUACCCUCCUGAACUGUAACACAACCUGCCAUUUUUGUUGAAGCAAAUUCAUGACUCCUCAAAAUGGCAGACUAUUUUAGUUCACAGUGGAAUUUUUGACUCCACAA